rnacentral:lncRNA from 10 species
AAAAUUGCCUUGUGACUCUGCUUAAUCUGGCCCCUGUCUCUUGUCCUAGCUUCUUUUGCCAGUCUUCCCCUGAAUCGCACCACUUCAGUCAUACUUACCUUCGUUCAGUUCUUUGAACCUGCCUGCUCUUCUUGCUUGGGACUUUUUGUACAUGCUGUUCUCUCUUCCUAGAAGUAAAAGCCUUCACUGGGUAAUCCCUCCUCAUGCUUUCCCCAGCCUUCCAACCCCACUAAAAUGAGAUCCAUUUCUUCAUCAUAUGCUCUUAUAACUUUCCAUAGAUUUCCUUUAUGGUAAUUCUCAGUUUGUAAUUAUAUAUUGAUGUGCUUAUUCUAAUAAUGUACAUCUGCCGCACAUUUAAUCUUCACAACUACUCAGUAAUAUCUGUAUUAUUACCCUCAUAUUAAAGAUGAGUACUCUGUGUAACCUGCCCAAGACCACUGAGCUAGUAUGUACAAGCUGUGAGGACAACGCAGAAGCCAAUGGGUUUUGUGUAGAGUGUGUUGAAUGGCUCUGCAAGACGUGUAUCAGAGCUCAUCAGA